GAAUGUGAUGAUUGAAAGAUGUCGCCCCCAUCUUACAGCAUUGACAUCCCUUGAUGCAAAACUCAUGGUGAAUGACACUUAUAUGAUUC